rnacentral:rRNA from 1 species
AGCCGGCGAUGUCCGAAUGGGGAAACCCAGUGCAAUUCGUUGCACUAUCGUUAACUGAAUACAUAGGUUAACGAGGCGAACCGGGGGAACUGAAACAUCUAAGUACCCCGAGGAAAAGAAAUCAACCGAGAUUCCCCCAGUAGCGGCGAGCGAACGGGGAGCAGCCCAGAGUCUGAAUCAGCUUGUGUGUUAGUGGAACGGUCUGGAAAGUCCGACGGUACAGGGUGAUAGUCCCGUACACCAAAAUGCACAGGUUGUGAACUCGAAGAGUAGGGCGGGACACGUGGUAUCCUGUCUGAAUAUGGGGGGACCAUCCUCCAAGGCUAAAUACUCCUGACUGACCGAUAGUGAACCAGUACCGUGAGGGAAAGGCGAAAAGAACCCCGGCGAGGGGAGUGAAAAAGAACCUGAAACCGUGUACGUACAAGCAGUGGGAGCACCUUCGUGGUGUGACUGCGUACCUUUUGUAUAAUGGGUCAGCGACUUAUAUUCUGUAGCAAGGUUAACCGUAUAGGGGAGCCGCAGGGAAACCGAGUCUUAACUGGGCGUUAAGUUGCAGGGUAUAGACCCGAAACCCGGUGAUCUAGCCAUGGGCAGGUUGAAGGUUGGGUAACACUAACUGGAGGACCGAACCGACUAAUGUUGAAAAAUUAGCGGAUGACUUGUGGCUGGGGGUGAAAGGCCAAUCAAACCGGGAGAUAGCUGGUUCUCCCCGAAAGCUAUUUAGGUAGCGCCUCGUGAACUCAUCUUCGGGGGUAGAGCACUGUUUCGGCUAGGGGGUCAUCCCGACUUACCAACCCGAUGCAAACUACGAAUACCGAAGAAUGUUAUCACGGGAGACACACGGCGGGUGCUAACGUCCGUCGUGAAGAGGGAAACAACCCAGACCGCCAGCUAAGGUCCCAAAGUCAUGGUUAAGUGGGAAACGAUGUGGGAAGGCACAGACAGCCAGGAUGUUGGCUUAGAAGCAGCCAUCAUUUAAAGAAAGCGUAAUAGCUCACUGGUCGAGUCGGCCUGCGCGGAAGAUGUAACGGGGCUAAACCAUGCACCGAAGCUGCGGCAGCGACACUAUGUGUUGUUGGGUAGGGGAGCGUUCUGUAAGCCUGCGAAGGUGACCUGUGAGGGUUGCUGGAGGUAUCAGAAGUGCGAAUGCUGACAUAAGUAACGAUAAAGCGGGUGAAAAGCCCGCUCGCCGGAAGACCAAGGGUUCCUGUCCAACGUUAAUCGGGGCAGGGUGAGUCGACCCCUAAGGCGAGGCCGAAAGGCGUAGUCGAUGGGAAACAGGUUAAUAUUCCUGUACUUGGUGUUACUGCGAAGGGGGGACGGAGAAGGCUAUGUUAGCCGGGCGACGGUUGUCCCGGUUUAAGCAUGUAGGCUGAUUAUCCAGGCAAAUCCGGAUAAUCAAGGCUGAGGUGUGAUGACGAGGCACUACGGUGCUGAAGUAACAAAUGCCCUGCUUCCAGGAAAAGCCUCUAAGCAUCAGGUAACAUCAAAUCGUACCCCAAACCGACACAGGUGGUCAGGUAGAGAAUACCAAGGCGCUUGAGAGAACUCGGGUGAAGGAACUAGGCAAAAUGGUGCCGUAACUUCGGGAGAAGGCACGCUGGUGUGUAGGUGAAGCCCCUGCGGGUGGAGCUGAGACCAGUCGAAGAUACCAGCUGGCUGCAACUGUUUAUUAAAAACACAGCACUGUGCAAACACGAAAGUGGACGUAUACGGUGUGACGCCUGCCCGGUGCCGGAAGGUUAAUUGAUGGGGUUAUCCGUAAGGAGAAGCUCUUGAUCGAAGCCCCGGUAAACGGCGGCCGUAACUAUAACGGUCCUAAGGUAGCGAAAUUCCUUGUCGGGUAAGUUCCGACCUGCACGAAUGGCGUAAUGAUGGCCAGGCUGUCUCCACCCGAGACUCAGUGAAAUUGAACUCGCUGUGAAGAUGCAGUGUACCCGCGGCAAGACGGAAAGACCCCGUGAACCUUUACUAUAGCUUGACACUGAACAUUGAGCCUUGAUGUGUAGGAUAGGUGGGAGGCUUUGAAGCGUGGACGCCAGUCUGCGUGGAGCCAACCUUGAAAUACCACCCUUUAAUGUUUGAUGUUCUAACGUUGGCCCCUUAUCGGGGUUGCGGACAGUGUCUGGUGGGUAGUUUGACUGGGGCGGUCUCCUCCCAAAGCGUAACGGAGGAGCACGAAGGUUAGCUAAUCCUGGUCGGACAUCAGGAGGUUAGUGCAAUGGCAUAAGCUAGCUUGACUGCGAGCGUGACGGCGCGAGCAGGUGCGAAAGCAGGUCAUAGUGAUCCGGUGGUUCUGAAUGGAAGGGCCAUCGCUCAACGGAUAAAAGGUACUCCGGGGAUAACAGGCUGAUACCGCCCAAGAGUUCAUAUCGACGGCGGUGUUUGGCACCUCGAUGUCGGCUCAUCACAUCCUGGGGCUGAAGUAGGUCCCAAGGGUAUGGCUGUUCGCCAUUUAAAGUGGUACGCGAGCUGGGUUUAGAACGUCGUGAGACAGUUCGGUCCCUAUCUGCCGUGGGCGCUGGAGAAUUGAGGGGGGCUGCUCCUAGUACGAGAGGACCGGAGUGGACGCAUCACUGGUGUUCGGGUUGUCAUGCCAAUGGCACUGCCCGGUAGCUAAAUGCGGAAGAGAUAAGUGCUGAAAGCAUCUAAGCACGAAACUUGCCCCGAGAUGAGUUCUCCCUGAGACUUUAAGUCUCCUGAAGGAACGUU